GGCUGGUACGAAGGUAUUGAGUUAUCUCAAUUGAUUGUCCACAGUCAGCUACAGAUUGAACUCUUGUUCUGUACUUUCCCCACUUCUCACUAAUGCACAUGACUAGAGAUAG
rnacentral:Y_RNA from 1 species